rnacentral:rRNA from 1 species
GACGAACGCUGGCGGCGUGCUUAACACAUGCAAGUCGUACGGUAAGGCCCUUUCGGGGGUACACGAGUGGCGAACGGGUGAGUAACACGUGAGUAACCUGCCCACAACUUUGGGAUAACGCUAGGAAACUGGUGCUAAUACUGGAUAUGUGCUCCUGCUGCAUGGUGGGGGUUGGAAAGCUCCGGCGGUUGUGGAUGGACUCGCGGCCUAUCAGCUUGUUGGUGGGGUAGUGGCCUACCAAGGCGGCGACGGGUAGCCGGCCUGAGAGGGUGACCGGCCACAUUGGGACUGAGAUACGGCCCAGACGCCUACGGGAGGCAGCAGUGGGGAAUAUUGCACAAUGGGCGCAAGCCUGAUGCAGCAACGCCGCGUGCGGGAUGACGGCCUUCGGGUUGUAAACCGCUUUCAGCAGGGGCGAAGCUUUUUGUGACGGUACCUGCAGAAGAAGCACCGGCUAACUACGUG